UCUGCCUGUAAUCUGGAGGGAGAAGCCUGGGUUGCAAGAGGAAAGAGCAUGAAGGAGGCACCAGACAUAACUAUGCUCUGAUCAUAAGAAAUGGAAGGCAACAGGAAGGCACACUGUCGUUACCUCACUAGCAAGAAAUUGAGUGGUUUGACCUGCCAAGUUAUUCAAGACUUUGGACACUCCCUUGAAGUGAAGCGGAACUCCCAGCUGUCGUGGUUCCCACCGCCCUUACUGGAAUGGAGCUCCACCACAAUACACGGUGCAGCCUCUGCACAGGUUUUGUUUCAGUAACAUUCCCAUCUAUU